UACGAAGGGGGCUAGCGUUGCUCGGAAUCACUGGGCGUAAAGGGUGCGUAGGCGGGUCUUUAAGUUAGGGGUGAAAGCCUGGAGCUCAACUUCAGAAUUGCCCUUAAGACUGCAUCGCUUGAAUCCAGGAGAGGUGAGUGGAAUUCCGAGUGUAGAGGUGAAAUUCGUAGAUAUUGGGAAGAACACCAGUGGCGAAGGCGGCUAACUGGUCCGGUACUGACGCUGAGGUGCGAAAGCGUGGGGAGCAAACAGG
rnacentral:rRNA from 1 species